AUCAACUUUAUAAUGCAUAUGCAUGGUCCAAACUGUUCUCACGACAAAGUGGACAAAAACAAUGGAGGCUAUGGAUAUGUUUCAGCUGCUCAAGAUCCUAACAUGUAUCCUAACCAAGGCUAUGUCGGUCCUGGAUAUGCACUUGGGAACUGUAAUCAAGUCUCGCAUCCCAGGCCUCCAGUCGAUAAUUAAUAAAAGUAUUGCUGAACUAGAGG